CAUGUAGACUGAGAGAUCAUAUAUGAGAUUGUCUCAGCGCGCGCGAUACGCAGGCGCAGUAUGUCAGUAUAGUGGUAUAAAGCGCGUAGUAGCGUCGUAGUAGUAUGGGAGAUCGCUCCGCUCUCAGCGGAGUAGCGCUGAGAAAGCACUCGAGUAGAGUGCAGAGAGAGAAGUAGUACUCGCGUGCAGCGAGAACGUAGUAGUGAUGGGGAGCAUACUGGAGAAGACGACGGCUUCUGCACGUUGAAUGACGAUGAGACGAAAAAGCGUGAGCAGACAGCAUGAUUAGAUACCCUAGUACUCCACGUUGUAAACGGUCAGUAGUAGUUGUCGGGUAGUAUUCACCCCUCCGCUGCAGUAGGUAACCUAUUAAGUACGCCGCGUGGGGAGUACGGUAGCAAGGCUACUACUCAAAGGAGUUGACGGGGGGCACCACAAGCGGUGCAGCAUGUGGAUUAAUUCGACGCAACCAGAACAACCUUAGGUGGGCAUGACAGGUUGUCGACUACAGAGGAAACACUUUUUCCUUUCGGGGCGAGAUCACAGGUGGUCCAUGGCGUUGUUCAGCUCGUGUCGUGAGAUGUGGGGUUAAUUCCCGCAACGAGCGCAACCCCUUCCUUAGUUGCCAAGCGGUUCGGCCGGGGACUCUAGGGAUACUGCCCGUGACAAACCGGAGGAAGGUGGGGACGACGUCAAGUCAUCAUGCCCCUUAUGUCCAGGGCUACACACGUGCUACAAUGGCCGGCACAAAGAGAGGCAAAACCGCGAGUUUGAGCGAAUCUCACAAAGCCGUUCUCAGUUCGGAUUGCAGUCUGCAACUCGACUCCAUGAAGUCGGAAUCGCUAGUAAUCCCGGAUCAGCAAAGCCGCGGUGAAUACGUUCUGGGCGUUGGUCCCCCCCCCCGGUCCCACCACAAAAUUCGGUAACCCCGAUACUCAGUGGCCCAACCCCAAGGGAGGCAGCUGUCCAAGGUGGGAUCGGUAACUGGGAUGAAGUCGUAACAAGGUAACC
rnacentral:rRNA from 1 species